rnacentral:rRNA from 1 species
CUACGGGGGGCAGCAGUAGGGAAUAUUGCACAAUGGACGAAAGUCUGAUGCAGCAACGCCGCGUGUGCGAUGAAGGCCUUCGGGUUGUAAAGCACUUUUCUGAGGGAAGAGGAAGGACGGUACCUCAGGAAUAAGUCUCGGCUAACUACGUGCCAGCAGCCGCGGUAACACGUAGGAGGCAAGCGUUAUCCGGAUUUACUGGGCGUAAAGCGCGUGCAGGCGGUUCGGUAAGUUGGAUGUGAAAGCUCCUGGCUCAACUGGGAGAUGCCGUUCAAUACUGCCGGACUCGAGGACGGUAGAGGGAGGUGGAAUUCCCGGUGUAGUGGUGAAAUGCGUAGAUAUCGGGAGGAACACCAGUGGCGAAAGCGGCCUCCUAGGCCGUUCCUGACGCUAAGACGCGAAAGCAUGGGUAGCGAACGGGAUUAGAUACCCCGGUAGUC